GAUGAACGCUGGCGGCGUGCCUAAUACAUGCAAGUCGAGCGAACAGACGAGGAGCUUGCUCCUCUGACGUUAGCGGCGGACGGGUGAGUAACACGUGGAUAACCUACCUAUAAGACUGGGAUAACUUCGGGAAACCGGAGCUAAUACCGGAUAAUAUAUUGAACCGCAUGGUUCAAUAGUGAAAGACGGUUUUGCUGUCACUUAUAGAUGGAUCCGCGCCGCAUUAGCUAGUUGCUAAGGUAACGGCUUACCAAGGCAACGAUGCGUAGCCGACCUGAGAGGGUGAUCGGCCACACUGGAACUGAGACACGGUCCAGACUCCUACGGGAGGCAGCAGUAGGGAAUCUUCCGCAAUGGGCGAAAGCCUGACGGAGCAACGCCGCGUGAGUGAUGAAGGUCUUCGGAUCGUAAAACUCUGUUAUUAGGGAAGAACAAAUGUGUAAGUAACUAUGCACGUCUUGACGGUACCUAAUCAGAAAGCCACGGCUAACUACGUG
rnacentral:rRNA from 1 species